rnacentral:ncRNA from 2 species
GUGUUCCUUCAGGGCAGGGUGGAAUUCCCGACCGGCGGUAAUGGCAAACGUCAGAGUCCGCGAGCCGAAAGGCAGAUCCGGUGCGAAUCCGGAACCGACAGUAAAGUCUGGAUGGAAGAAGGAUGAU